rnacentral:rRNA from 1 species
AGGGCAAGUCUGGUGCCAGCAGCCGCGGUAAUUCCAGCUCCAAUAGCGUAUAUUAAAGUUGUUGCAGUUAAAAAGCUCGUAGUUGGAUUUCUGGGAGGGUGCCAAUGCCGUCAUGCGAUUGGCAGCGGCGCCCUUCCAUCCUUCUGUUAACGUUUCUGAUAUUCAUUUAUUGGUCUCGGGCUCAGAUAUUUUACCUUGAGAAAAUUAGAGUGCUCCAGGCAGGCUUGCGCCGGAAUACAUUAGCAUGGAAUAAUAGAAUAGGACUUUAGUCUCCUUUGUUGGUUUGAGGGACUGAAGUAAUGAUUAAUAGGGAUAGUUGGGGGCAUUAGUAUUUAACUGUCAGAGGUGAAAUUCUCGGAUUUGUUAAAGACUAACUUAUGCGAAAGCAUUUGCCAAGGAUGUUUUCAUUAAUCAAGAACGAAAGUUAGGGGAUCAAAGACGAUCAGAUACCGUCCUAGUCUUAACCAUAAACUAUGCCGACUAGGGAUCGGAGGCGCGCCUUAUCCGCCUUCGGCGCCUUACGGGAAAC